GUUUCCCAUGCGGUGCUUCUCCAAUGAACACCUUCAUGUGAGCUCCGCAAGUUAGACACUUUCAAGAGGAAACGAAAACUCAGGGAUUCUAAGGUAGCUCUAUGCUACCUCCAAGAGCGUCCAGCAGGAGAAUGGGGGAGCCCUGGACAGUCCCCACCUGGCACCCUCCAGACAGAGCUUUGAAGGAAAGGCUUGAAAGCUACAAGGAAUAUGAGAUGCAAUUAGACCCGGGUUUGAAGACUCCUCUUCCAUGCAGCAUUGUGAUCUGGGUGGUCAUGUAUGGAUGUGAGAGUUGGACUGUGAAGAAAGCUGAGCGCCGAAGAAUUGAUGCUUUUGAACUGUGGUGUUGGAGAAGACUCUUGAGAGCCCCUUGGACUGCAAGGAGAUCCAACCAGUCCAUUCUGAAGGAGAUCAGCCCUGGGAUUUCUUUGGAAGGAAUGAUGCUAAAGCUGAAACUCCAGUACUUUGGCCACCUCAUGCAAAGAGUUGACUCAUUCGAGAAGACUAAUGCUGGGAGGGAUUGGGG
ensembl:lncRNA